ACGCGCCUUGAGAAGAAGCUCAAGAGGUUUGAUGAGAAGCGAGGGGGUUGGGUGUCAGGGCGGAAGAAGAACCACAACGUUGCUUCCAUCAAGGAUGAAGCCAUUGUCUUGCUUGAGAAACUCCAUGCCAUUGGCUUUAAACCAGUGCUGCUUCUUGGCAAGGAGACCAGGAAGAAGGA